rnacentral:lncRNA from 1 species
UGCAAGCUCUUACAGCUUGAGCCUAAUAUUCGGGAUUAUGACUGGAUAUUCCCUCCAGGAUAAUCUUUUUCUUCACGUUUUACUUAGAAAAUGAUUUGAAUACUUGAGUGUUUAAGAGAAGACGAAUAUUUAUGGCUUGCAAGCUCUUACAACUUGAGCCUAAUAUUCGGGAUUACGACUGGACAUUCCAUCCAGGUAAUCUUUUUCUUCACGUUUUAUUUAGAAAAUGAUUUGAAUAUUAGAGUGUGGAAGUGAAGACGAAUAUUUAUGGCUUGCAAGCUCUUACAACUUGAGCCUAAUAUUCGAGAUUACGACUGGACAUUCCAUACAGGUAAUCUUUUUCUUCACGUUUUAUUUAGAAAACGAUUUGAAUAUUAAAUUAAAACAAUUAAAGUACCGAGGUUUGAAAUUAUUGAAAGUUAAGUUGAUGUUGCUUAAGAGCUCAUUGUAAGAAGGCCCAAGAGUAAGCCAUGUGAGGUUGAUGACGAUGCUUAAAAGCAAUCGACUUACAAGGGUAUGGAAAUGGGCUCGACGUUGAAUCGAGAAUUAAGUGAUAUUUAUCAUUAUUACUCUUUUUAAUGUUUUUUUUUCAUCAAGGAAAAUGAGAUGAUUAAAGUGAUAUUUAUCAUUAUUACUCUUUUUAAUGUUUUUUUUUCAUCAAGGAAAAUGAGAUGAUUCAUCAUGAUUGUAACAUACCUCACACAUAAAAUCAAUAAUUCAUACAAAUGAACGGACAAGCAUAAAUAUAAUAAUUCUCGUAAAUCCCAAAAAAUAAAUAAUUGCCUAAAUAAUAUUUAAAAAAACAAAAAAGAAUAAAUAAAGUAAAUGAUAAGAGAAACAUGUUAAUUGAUUAAAUAAGAAGAUUAUAUAAUUAAAUAUGAGUUAUUAAUAAUAAUACUUUGAUGAUGAGGAGUAAUUAAAGAUUUAAUUGUUAAACGAAACUUUAUUUAAAUUAAAUAGAAUUUGUUUUUUUUUAUUUUUUGAAAGAAAAGGAAAAGAAAUAAAAGAAAUAAUAGAGUUUGAUGAUGAGGACACGUGGGGAAUAAACCCCUCCAAUUCCAACGGUCACAUAGGGUGACCGAGAAAAUAGCCAUUAAUGCAGAAGGAGAAACAAAACGGUAGUCCUCCUUGGGCAGUGGGAUAAGAGUCAUGAUCAAUGACCUUAAAGCCUUGAUGAGAUCCACAUAAAAUCCCAACAGACAGCGAAAACACUCACCUCCACCUUAAACUCACUCUCUCUCUCUUGAGACAUUCGUCUCCUCCCUCACUCAAAACAAAUAGCAAGCUCAACAGGGACUCCUAACACAAACCAAACUCAGCACGACCGGCACGCAAAGGCAAACAAAAAUCACCAAAAUCAAAGAAAAAUAAACAAACAGGGGUCGACCUUGAAUACCGAAGAACAAGAAGGAACAAUCACUUACAGAGAAGUGAAUCAAGCAUGGAAAAACAU